CCGGCUGCCAAACAGCAGGUCGCAUCAUCUGGGAACUAUCCGCCAAUGUCUGAGAGGGACUGACCACGCUCCAUCGCAAGGGCUGUGUUUCGUUUCAAUGUCACUACAGACGAUUCAUGAGGAGGAUGGACCUCCUGUGCUGUACAGAGUAUCUCACCUUUCAGAUUAACUCAAAAACUUUUUUGGUGACACUGAUUGGGUGGAAAGUAGAAAUGAUUAGCCUUUCUCACAGAAGGCAAAAUCCGAGGUCCGAGGACCAGCUCAGCAGUGUCCAUCUGUCCGUCUGCCUCUUGGACCUCAGUCACCGCAGUUAUUGCAGUACUAGCACCCACAGGUAGCUCCACCACCACCACAACCUGCAGUACCGCAGAAUUCUCCUCCACCAUCAUGUCAUAGGGCUGACUCUCCUGGGGAUGAUGUAAAUGGGACCAACCUGCAGGGUGACAAAGUCUGGGAUUGGACCAAUCCCCUGUACUGCUGCUCAAUUGCGUACCCUUACCUUGUUGGAACGUGUGAAAAAUCGGCAAACACAUAUCCUCUCUGUGCUCAACACCUUCGCCUCAAGGAUGGAUGCCAAUGAGAGAGGAUGCAGUCCUAACAGAUGCUGUGCAUUUCCCUUUAGGGGCUUCAGGAAAUGUGGAGGAGUUUGAGGCCUGGCUUAGGGAUGCCAACAAUGCAGCAGUUAAAAAGAGCACGGUACUGCUGUCUCUUCCACAUUACUAUUUAGCUCAAACUGUACAUAAUCAGUGUGGCCUUAUUUUACCCAAGAUUAAUUCAAGUGAUAGCUUUCAAAUUCAAGAUAUCAUUCAACAGACAGCUGUACUGGCCUCCAUUGGAGGACAUGACACAAAGAAAGUGAGGUGGUACAUUCUUGGACACAUGUUUUGCAAUAGCCAAUCUACAGCACUGGUAAAAAAUAAAAAAGUAGUCCCUAUUAAAAAUUAUAAUCUGCCAAUCACUGCUGCCAAAUUGUGGGCCAGCUUCAUCUUUCUGGGCUGUUUCGAUCAAUCACAGAUAUGAAAUGUUGAUAAUCGUGGAUUAUUUUCUGUUGCCUGGGGAUUUUUAUUUCAAGAUGAGACACAUGCAGUUUACCUGAAGAUAAAACCAUCAUAGCAGUGAAAAUACAGUCAGCUAAUAUAUAGCCUAGUUAGUUAGUACUUUUAGUCCCUUAGCUUGCCGGCACUAAAACAGGUAGAUGAGUUGGCUACCGUUAUCAUGUUAAUGUUACAUUGUUAUUACUUUAUAUAGGUGUAGUACUUACCUAUGAGUGGCUAUGUUCACUCGAUUGAGUUUGUAGUUGGUAGACUACAAAUAUGAAUGAUCACGGCUGUUCAUUAUUGGUAACUUAAGCAAGUGUUGGUACAAAAAUUAAUGAAUGAUAGUCACAACAUAGUUAUUGAUAAACAAGUUUCAUUAAAGAAAGCUCGGCUGUAAAGUUAGUUCUUUUUUAAGACAGCAUUUGGGUGAAUAUUUGAAGAUGAUCAAGCUUUAACAUUGGCUAUUGAUGAGCAAGCACUGCUACAGAAAUUAUCAAGUUGUAGCAUAGUUUCCAAGAUGGAAAAACUUCUCUUUGACCUGGGUAAGUUUUAUCUAGGGUAGGCUAGUCAACAUCAUGUUUCCCUGUGUGAUGCUGCAAAACUGUGGUGGCAGCAGGUAUUUUUCAUUUCCCAAGUUUAACUUCUAGAUUGCUAACCAGUUUGUUUUGGCAAUAUUGACUUCCUGGCUUGCUGGACACAAUGGAUCGGGAUUAUUCAAGUGGGUCUACAAAGAUAAAUUGACUCGGCAGCAGUUCUGCAGAAGGUAACCUAACCCUGCCUCAGCUAUUUAUUUUUUUCAGUUGUUGCUCCUGCAUGCUAAUGCUACUACCAGCGAUUCCACUCGUGCUAGCUUCCUAAUUAGUAGGCAUACACAAACCACAAUGGGAUAGUAACGCUUUUAGUUUAUUGGUGGACUAGUCGGACCUUGUCAGGAUGCUAGAAUUCGAGGAUAGCCUCUGUAACCGCUUUGGUAGGAGGAAGAAGACCUUUGAGGAUAAGACACAUUUUAUUUAUAUCAUGGUGGUGGUAUGUUGCAUAGUCUAAUAUAUUACUGCGCCCCAGUUGCGCUAACUCCUGGAGUCACAAAAUUACCAAAACAGACUUGGACAUGCCCUUAUUCACCAGUGCCUUGAGUUCUGGUGAGUGAGGGAGGUACAACUCCUUUUUUGAAACUUACAAUUGCAAAAUGGUUGGAUCAAUAUUGUUAUACACUACAGGCUUCAUGAGGGUUGAGUCAGCUGGGUUGAAACUAUUUCUUUAAACUUCCCAGUUUUUUUCCUUCCACUUACAAAAUAGAAUGGGCUACCACUGCAAGAUCCUCCAUAAAAUACUGCCAUACUGUAUGCACCCGAAAAAAACUGGUUCAGGCUUUUUGACUUUUUCUGCAGCCCAGCAGCAGAUCUGGCAAACCACCAACCACAGAAAUCACUGUUAUGCACUUAAGUGGAGAAUACCCUCCCUCCAUGGGAGAUGAAAUAGCCAAUUACACAUCACCCUGCAGGACUCCUGGCCGCAGUCAGCACUAGCACAGCCAGGAUUCUAAUGUUGGUUUAUGAACAACUAAGACCUUGUCCUGGACCAACCGUAAACAAUGUCAAAAACACACUGGUUCAAUUUCAGCAUGCCUUCAGUCUUUAGUCCGUAGCUGCGUAAUGAAAAACGUUUCCGAAGUACCAUAUUACGGGAUUUGCUGUAUAUUGAGUUUAGGACAAUCAGCUGAUCUCCAGCAAUCCUCCUGCUGGUCCCAAAGUUCAGUGUUUAUGUUUUUAUCACCAUUGUGCACAGCGAACGUAAAGAAUGGAAAUAUUUUUUAAUAUUUAAAGUGGGAUAAUCUUUUUAAAUUCCUGAAAUAUCCGCAAUUGAGCUUAUUACUAUGCAGAGCCCACAUAAACAAGAAAAUACCUUUAAAGCACUUAAAAAUGUGCUUGUGAACUUCUAAAUAAACUGUUACAAAAUGAAUAUUUCUUUGCCUUACAUCCUAAACGUUGUAUUCAUAACUUCAAGAUUUCAGUCUUAACUCAAUAACAAAAAUGUUGCGAUUACCUAAAUUAUUUGCCUCUCUGGCAUUACCAUAUGAAACUGAUAAUGAGACAAAUUUGGUCAAAAACACCUCUGUUCACACAUUGAUAUUGUUAAUACUGUUGGCUUUUGACUAGGGCGACCAGUUUUGCUCCCCUUGUCCUCCUGCAUGAUAUUUCAGUUUGUCGCCAGCUAGAGGUCACAAUAGUCUCUUUGUCAAGCCCCUUCUCAAACAAUUAUCCCAUGUGCAUCAUCUCAAUAAUCUAAGUUGAAGUAAUUGCCCGUAAUUAAGCAUAGACGAUGAAUCACAGCAAUGUUUACAAGCGAAACUCAUUCAUGUCCUCUCUACAGCACUCAGAUGUCAGGCUGUGCACAUGCAUGUGGUUGGAAGGUGGGGCUUUUAAAGGUUUUUUCUUUUCUUCAAAAUCUAGCUCUCUCGUUUGUUUUUCCAAACUUGCAUACUGCACCUUUAAGCAGGGUCGUUCAGAAGCUCGAACAGAUUUUGUGCUCGAGAUUUUAUCGUCUGUAUAUAAAAUAGAUAAGAUGGGUUGUGCGUUGGCCUUUUUAUGGAUUCCAGGCCACAAGGGAAUAAAAGGAAAUGAAAUGGCAGAUAAAAUUGGCAAGUCAAGAUUGCAGUCAGAAAAUAUCCAAGUUACUGUAUCUUUUGGGAAAAUGGACAGGUUUAAUUAAAAAGAGUGUUGGGAAGGAGUGACAAAGUCAACAGGAAAUGGAUAAGAGAGGGAGACACUUUUACUCAAUUAAAACAUCUCUCAAGAAAGGAUCUGUUUAUUAUGGUAGAAAUCGAACUGAACCAGUGAAAAGAAUUAGACUGGGAAUGGGCUGUUGUGGGUUGGGGAGUGGGUUGAAAGCUAUUGGGAAACAUAAUGAUGGACUAUGUGAGUGUGGUUGUCUGGAUGUUCUGUUAAAACACUGCUCAGUUGGGAUGGGAGUGUGGACCACUGGUUCACAGACAUGCUUUACAUA